rnacentral:lncRNA from 1 species
GAAGUGGAUAUGGAAAAUGAUGCAAAUCCGAGCAUUUUGAUUUCCGUUGAAGAGAGAAGGAUGUGAAAUGAUGCAGAUCUGAAAAAAAUGAAAGAACCUGAGGAAAAGUUUAAAUUUUUAAUAAAAUAUGAAAGAUUAGAGAGAUGGAGAAAUUAUGACACUUGGAUUCUUGGCAUUUAUUCUUGCAGUUGAAUCAACAAAUUUGGAAGCAGAUUUUUUUGAAGAAGUCAAAUCUGAAAGAUGAAGUGAGUGUUUUCACGACUUCUAAUGUUGUGAGAAAGAGAGAGGCAUGUUUGAGUGAUGAUAGGGGGAUGAAGCAUAAUAUCUGAGACAAAAGUGUUGUUUGUGUUAUGGUGAAUCAAAAUCUCCUUUUUAAUAGGGGAGAAAGGGUGAUGGCGGCGACUACAGAGGUUUUAAGGUUUGAGGGGGAAAAUGAGAAAAGAAAGAAGACGAAAGAGAGAGAAAAUUGUAAUGUGUGAGAAAUGAUUAAACACAAUGUAUCAGAGGCUUAUGUAUUUGUUUUGGAAUGUAAAGAGUUUUACUGGGAAGAAGAUGAAAAUAAAUAGAGUGUGAAAAGAAGAAAAAAAGGUGUUGUCUUAAGAUACGAAUGGGGUG